rnacentral:rRNA from 1 species
AGAGUGAACGCUGGCGGCAGGCCUAACACAUGCAAGUCGAACGGCAGCACAGGAGAGCUUGCUCUCUGGGUGGCGAGUGGCGGACGGGUGAGGAAUACGUCGGAAUCUGCCUAUUUGUGGGGGAUAACGUAGGAAACUUACGCUAAUACCGCAUACGACCUACGGGUGAAAGCGGAGGACCUUCGGGCUUCGCGCAGAUAGAUG